GCCGGGCGUGGUGGUGGGCGCCUGUAAUCCCUGCUACUCGGGAGGCUGAGGCAGAAGAAUCACUUGAACCCGGGAGGCAGAGGUUGCAGUGCUGAGAUUGUGGCACUGCACUCCAGCCUGGGCAACAGAGCGAGAUUCUGUCUCAA
rfam:Homo sapiens chromosome 21, GRCh38 reference primary assembly.